AGUGAACGCUGGCGGCAGGCCUAACACAUGCAAGUCGAACGGAAACACAGUAAGCUCUCUCCCCUACGGUUGGCGGCUGGCGGAUGGGUGACGCGUACAUCGCCUUCUUAUAUUUCGUGGGGGACUUCGUAGGGACACUUACGCUAACACCUCAUAUGUCCUACGGCAGAAAUCAGGAGUUCAUCGGAGCUUUCGCGACUCUAUGAGCUGAUGCCGGACCGCAUUAGCUAGUUGGUAAGGUAACGGCUUACCAAGGCGACGAUGCGUAGCCGAGCUGAGAGGGUGAUCGGCCACACUGGAACUGAGACACGGUCCAGACUCCUACGGGAGGCAGCAGUAGGGAAUAUUCCGCAAUGGGCGCAAGCCUGAUGGAGCCAUGCCGCGUGAGUGAUGAAGGUCUUCGGAUUGUAAAACCCUGUUAUUAGGGAAGAAAAAAUGUGUAAGUAACCACGGACGUCUUGACGGUACCUAAAGAGAAAGCACCGGCUAACUACGUG
rnacentral:rRNA from 1 species